CACGUAGGGGGCGAGCGUUGUCCGGAUUUAUUGGGCGUAAAGAGCUCGUAGGCGGUUCGGCAAGUCGGGUGUGAAAUUUCGAGGCUCAACCUCGAAACGCCACUCGAUACUGCUGUGACUGGAGUCCGGUAGAGGAGUGCGGAAUUCCUGGUGUAGCGGUGAAAUGCGCAGAUAUCAGGAGGAACACCGGUGGCGAAGGCGGUUCUCUGGGCAUUACCUGACGCUGAGGAGCGAAAGUGUGGGGAGCGAACAGG
rnacentral:rRNA from 1 species